rnacentral:rRNA from 1 species
GACGAACGCUGGCGGCGUGCCUAAUACAUGCAAGUCGAGCGAAUCAAUAGGAGCUUGCUCCUGUUGGUUAGCGGCGGACGGGUGAGUAACACGUGGGCAACCUGCCUGUAAGACUGGGAUAACACCGGGAAACCGGUGCUAAUACCGGAUAAUCCUUUUCCUCUCAUGAGGAAAAGCUGAAAGUCGGUUUCGGCUGACACUUACAGAUGGGCCAGCGGCGCAUUAGCUGGUUGGUGAGGUAACGGCUCACCAAGGCGACGAUGCGUAGCCGACCUGAGAGGGUGAUCGGCCACACUGGGACUGAGACACGGCCCAGACUCCUACGGGAGGCAGCAGUAGGGAAUCUUCCACAAUGGACGAAAGUCUGAUGGAGCAACGCCGCGUGAGCGAUGAAGGCCUUCGGGUCGUAAAGCUCUGUUGUUAGGGAAGAACAAGUACCGGAGUAACUGCCGGUACCUUGACGGUACCUAACCAGAAAGCCACGGCUAACUACGUGCCAGCAGCCGCAGUAAGAC